rnacentral:lncRNA from 1 species
CUGAUUUUAUAUGGAACAUUUUCCAGCAAAGCUCCGUUGCUAAUCGGAAGAAUGUGCACAAGGUUAAACUAUUCAUCGUCACUGACUACGACGGUGUGGCCUUUGCUAGCAACAACGAAAUUCAUGUUAGUGCUGGCUAUAUUGCAAACUAUGGUGGGGACGUGAAGAGGGAGAUAACAGGUAAAGUAUAAGUGACAUGCAUCUAAAUAUUUUCCUUUCACUAUACCGUUGUUAUACUUGCUUUUUACGUAUUGUUUAAUCUUUUAUUCAUGUUCUUAAUCAUAGGUGUCCUAUACCACGAAAUGACUCAUAUCUGGCAAUGGAACGGGAUCCCGAAUGCACCAGGCGGGCUGAUCGAAGGGAUCGCCGAUUACGUACGGCUAAAGUCGGGGUAUAUUCCGGGGCAUUGGGUGGGACCGGGCGGCGGGAGUUCAUGGGACCAAGGGUACGACGUGACAGCGAGAUUUUUGGAUUAUUUAGAGGGGCUGAGAAGUGGAUUCGUGGCGGAGCUGAACCGGAGGCUCAGAAAUG